GGCGUCACGGGUGAGUAACGCGUAUGCAACCUACCCACUACAKGGUGAAUAACCCGGAGAAAUUCGGACUAAUACCCCAUAUAMCCACAGGCUGGCAUUAGCCAAUGGGGAAAGGAGCAAUMCGGUGGUGGAUGGGCAUGCGUAUCAUUAGAUARUKGGGGGGGUAACGGCCCACCAARUCUAUGAUGAUUAGGGGAUCUGARAGGAUUAACCCCCACACUGGGACUGAUACACGGUCCAAACUCCUACGGGAGGCAGCAAUGAGGAAUAUUGGUCMAUGGCCGAAAKGCUGAACCAGYCAUGCCGCGUGCAGGACUACSGNCCUACGGGUCUU
rnacentral:rRNA from 1 species